GACGAACGCUGGAGGCGUGCUUAACACAUGCAAGUCGAACGAUGAAAUGGAGCUUGCUCCAUGGAUUAGUGGCGAACGGGUGAGUAACACGUGAAUAACCUGCCCUUAAUUUUGGAAUAACCCAGGGAAACCUGGGCUAAUACCGGAUAAGUAAACCUGUGGCAUCACAUGGUUUUGGAAAGUUUUUCGAUUAAGGAUGGAUUCGCGGCCUAUCAGCUUGUUGGUGAGGUAAUGGCUCACCAAGGCGACGACGGGUAGCCGGCCUGAGAGGGUGAACGGCCACACUGGGACGGAGACACGGCCCAGGCUCCUACGGGAGGCAGCAGUGGGGAAUAUUGCGCAAUGGACGAAAGUCUGACGCAGCGACGCCUCGUGAGGGACGAAGGUCUUCGGAUUGUAAACCUCUUUCAGCAGGGACGAAGCGAAAGUGACGGUACCUGCAGAAGAAGCACCGGCUAACUAUGUGCCAGCAGCCGCCGUAA
rnacentral:rRNA from 1 species